AACGAACGCUGGCGGCAUGCCUAACACAUGCAAGUCGAACGAGACCUUCGGGUCUAGUGGCGCACGGGUGCGUAACGCGUGGGAAUCUGCCCUUGGGUUCGGAAUAACAGUUGGAAACGACUGCUAAUACCGGAUGAUGACGUAAGUCCAAAGAUUUAUCGCCCAAGGAUGAGCCCGCGUAGGAUUAGCUAGUUGGUGAGGUAAAGGCUCACCAAGGCGACGAUCCUUAGCUGGUCUGAGAGGAUGAUCAGCCACACUGGGACUGAGACACGGCCCAGACUCCUACGGGAGGCAGCAGUGGGGAAUAUUGGACAAUGGGCGAAAGCCUGAUCCAGCAAUGCCGCGUGAGUGAUGAAGGCCUUAGGGUUGUAAAGCUCUUUUAACCGGGAUGAUAAUGACAGUACCGGGAGAAUAAGCUCCGGCUAACUCCGUG
rnacentral:rRNA from 1 species